rnacentral:rRNA from 1 species
CAGCCGUAAACAAUGUGCGUUAGGUGUGUCGGUAACCACGUGUUACUGAUGCGCCGAAGAGAAAUCGUGAAACGCACCACCUGGGAAGUACGGUCGCAAGGCUGAAACUUAAAGGAAUUGGCGGGGGAGCACCACAACAGGUGGAGCCUGCGGUUUAAUUGGAUUCAACGCCGGACAUCUCACCGGAUAAGACAGCAGAAUGAUUGCCGGGCUGAAGACCCUGCAUGACUAGCUGAGAGGUGGUGCAUGGCGUCAGUGACU